rnacentral:rRNA from 1 species
GGAGGAUAGCCUCGGAAACGGGGAUUAUACUCCAUAUAUUUAUCAUGGCUCAUGAUAGAUAAAAGCUACGUGGUUUAGAUGGCAUGCGUACCAUUAGUUAGUUGGUAAGGUAACGGCUUACCAAGGCGAUGAUGGUUAGGGGUCCUGAGAGGGUAAACCCCCACACUGGUACUGAGACACGGACCAGACUUCUACGGAAGGCAGCAGUGAGGAAUAUUGGUCAAUGGGCGCAAGCCUGAACCAGCCAUGCCGCGUGCAGGAAGACGGCCCUACGGGUUGUAAACUGCUUUUCUAUGGGAAGAAUUCCUACCUAUAUAGGUGGGUUGACGGUACCACAGGAAUAAGCAUCGGCUAACUCCGUGCCAGCAGCCGCGGUAAUACGGAGGAUGCAGGCGUUAUCCGGAUUUAUUGGGUUUAAAGGGUGCGCAGGCGGUGGAACAAGUCAGUGGUGAAAGCCCGGGGCUUAACUUCGGGAUUGCCAUUGAAACUGUUUCACUUGAGUGUAGUUGAGGACGGCGGAAUGAGUUGUGUAGCGGUGAAAUGCAUAGAUAUAACUCAGAACACCAAUUGCGAAGGCAGCUGUCUAGACUACAACUGACGCUGAGGCACGAAAGCGUGGGUAGCGAACAGCGAUUCAGAUACCCUGGUAGUCCACGCUGUUAAACGAUUGAUCCCCCCCACUCGGUUUGUUGGCUACUUAGUAGUCAGUGACUAAGGGAAACCGAUAAGUGAUCCACCUGGAGGAGAUACGUCGGCAACGAUUGAAAUUCAAAGGAAUUGACGGGGGCCCGCACAAGCGGAGGAACCAUGUGGUUUAAUUCGAUGAUACGCGAGGAACCUUACCUGGGCUUAAAUG